rnacentral:rRNA from 1 species
CCUACGGGGGGCUGCAGUGAGGAAUAUUGGUCAAUGGACGAGAGUCUGAACCAGCCAAGUAGCGUGAAGGAUGACUGCCCUAUGGGUUGUAAACUUCUUUUAUAUGGGAAUAAAAUGUUCCACGUGUGGGAUUUUGUAUGUACCAUAUGAAUAAGGAUCGGCUAACUCUGUUCCAGCAGCAGCGGUAAUACGGAGGAUUCGAUCGUUGUCCGGAUUUAUUGGGUUUAAAGGGAACGUAGGUGGGUUGUUAAGUCAGUUGUGAACGUUUGCGGCUCAACCGUAAAAUUGCAGUUGAAACUGGCAGUCUUGAGUACAGUAGAGGUGAGCGGAAUUCGUGGUGUAGCGGUGAAAUGCUUAGAUAUCACGAAGAACUCCGAUUGCGAAGGCAGUUCACUGGACUGCAACUGACACUGAGGCUCGAAAGUGUGGGUAUCAAACAGGAUUAGAUACCCUUGUAGUC